AUAAAGUUUUAUUUUGGUUAAAAAAUUUAUUUUAUUUUAAUUUUAUAUGUAAAUUAAUGUAUGAAUUUAUAAUUUUCUUAAAGAAAGUUAUAAAAUUUUAUUCGCAGUAUUUUAUUUUAAUUAUUAAAGAAAUUUAGAUUUAGUUAUAAAAAUUAGUGUGGGUUAAUUUUGUGCCAGCAUCCGCGGUUAUACAAAAUAUACGAAUAAAUUUUAUUAUUUAUAGUUGAAUUGAUUUUAUAAAGUAAAAAUAUAUUAAUAAGGUGAAAUUUAUUAUAUUAUUUAAUUUAUUAGAUAAUUAAUUGAAGCUAAUAAAUUUUUAUAUUAAACUAGGAUUAGAUACCCUAUUAUUAAAAAUGUAAAUUAAGUUAAAUUAGGUAGUAAUAGAUAUAGACUUGAAACUUAAAAAAUUUGGCGGUAUUUUAAUCUAUUUAGAGGAACCUGUUCCGUAAUCGAUAGUCCACGAUAAAUUUUACAUAAUUUUAUUUAGUUUGUAUAUCGUCGUUAUAAGAGGAUUUUAAAAGAAAAAAAAUUUUCUAAUACUUAAAUUUAAGUAUAUUUCAGAUCAAGGUGUAGCUAAUAAUUAUGAGGAAAUGGGUUACAAUAAAUUUAUUUAUAAUGAAGUAUAAAGUGAAUAUUUUAUAUGAAGGUGGAUUUAAUAGUAAAAUAAUUAAUAUUUUUUAUUUGAUUAUAGUUCUAAAAUAUGUACAUAUCGCCCGUCACUUUCUUUAUUUAAAAAGAAAUAAGUCGUAACAAAGUAGGUGUACUGGAAAGUGUACCUAGAAUGAACAA
rnacentral:ncRNA from 1 species